rnacentral:rRNA from 1 species
AACGAACGCUGGCGGCAUGCCUAACACAUGCAAGUCGAACGAGACCUUCGGGCCUAGUGGCGCACGGGUGCGUAACGCGUGGGAACCUGCCCUUAGGUUCGGAAUAACUCCCCGAAAGGGGUGCUAAUACCGGAUAAUGUCUUCGGACCAAAGAUUUAUCGCCUUUGGAUGGGCCCGCGUUGGAUUAGCUAGUUGGUAGGGUAAAAGCCUACCAAGGCGACGAUCCAUAGCUGGUCUGAGAGGAUGAUCAGCCACACUGGGACUGAGACACGGCCCAGACUCCUACGGGAGGCAGCAGUGGGGAAUAUUGGACAAUGGGCGAGAGCCUGAUCCAGCAAUGCCGCGUGAGUGAUGAAGGCCUUAGGGUUGUAAAGCUCUUUUACCCGGGAUGAUAAUGACAGUACCGGGAGAAUAAGCUCCGGCUAACUCCGUG